GAUGAACGCUGGCGGCGUGCCUAAUACAUGCAAGUCGAGCGAACAGAUGAGGAGCUUGCUCCUCUGACGUUAGCGGCGGACGGGUGAGUAACACGUGGAUAACCUACCUAUAAGACUGGGAUAACUUCGGGAAACCGGAGCUAAUACCGGAUAAUAUAUUGAACCGCAUGGUUCAAUAGUGAAAGACGGUUUUGCUGUCACUUAUAGAUGGAUCCGCGCCGCAUUAGCUAGUUGGUAAGGUAACGGCUUACCAAGGCAACGAUGCGUAGCCGACCUGAGAGGGUGAUCGGCCACACUGGAACUGAGACACGGUCCAGACUCCUACGGGAGGCAGCAGUAGGGAAUCUUCCGCAAUGGGCGAAAGCUUGACGGAGCAACGCCGCGUGAGUGAUGAAGGGCUUCGGAUCGUAAAACUCUGUUAUUAGGGAAGAACAAAUGUGUAAGUAACUAUGCACGUCUUGACGGUACCUAAUCAGAAAGCCACGGCUAACUACGUGC
rnacentral:rRNA from 1 species